GUUCGGUUUUCGAAAAUACGAAUCUUACUUCGGUAAAAUUACGUACUUCCGGUUAGCUAAGACUGAAAUUCGGCAUUCUGAGGGUUUUAGGGAAAAGAUCUAAUCCAUUUCCAUCUAGACCGUGGAAGAGGCUAGAGUGCGUGUUUUUACUUUUGUUCCGCGGUGCGUGUUAGAAGGUGUUGCGUUAAUAUUAGCAGUAGAAAGUGCGGGAAAAGAUCGUGUGCGUUGGAAGGAAAUUAUAACAAAGCCGUGCGACGGCUUUUUAUUCCCUACUUUAGACGCUCUUCGGCUCGCCGCACCGUUCUUCAUCCAGCGACGCGCUCUAGACCCCACGCUCUGGCUUGGAAAUUCUGGCAAUCUCCGUCAAAAUCGCCAGAAGGGCGAAGUUCGUCAUUUUCCGCCCAUCAGAGCCACACGUCACAACCAACCGGUGUGCACGUUUUUUGUUGCUGACAGCAGUCCGGCGUACCGACACUGUCAACAGUUACCCACGAAGGACGUCCAGCCGUAAACCCGCUCCGGCGUCGGCAUACCGAAACGCCGUCAGCGCAGAAUCAUCCGUAUCGACGCCAGCAUCGUCAUCAUUCGGCGGAGCGUCGCAAUACAGGCAGGUAGCAGCGAAGAAAGCUGUAAGUACGCUAUAAAUUAAGUCCAUGCGCAUGGUUAAAAAGGGGGUAGCCUAGACACCCACCUAAA